CUGCCCUGCUGAGUGGUCUCAGAGCAGAGCUCAGGGUGCCUCCACCAUGGCCUGGACCCACAUCCUGCUGCCCCUCCUCUCUCUCUGCACAGGUUACGUGGCCUCUUCUGCACUGACUCAGCCCUCCGCGGUGUCCGUGUCCUUGGGACAGACGGCCAGGAUCACCUGCCAAGGAGGCAGCAUAGAAAGCUAUGCUGCUCACUGGUACCAGCGGAAGCCAGGCCAAUUCCCCGUGCUGGUCAUCUAUGGUGAUGACAGAAGGCCCUCAGGGAUCCCUGAGCGGUUCUCUGGCUCCAGCUCUGGGGGCACAGCCACCCUGACCAUCAGCGGGGCCCAGGCCGAGGACGAGGCCGACUAUUACUGUCACUCAGCAGACAGCAGUGCUGGUGACGGAAGUGGCUGUGGACAGGUCAGCUGA